AUUGAACGCUGGCGGCAGGCCUAACACAUGCAAGUCGAGCGAGCGGCGGACGGGUGAGUAAUGUAUGGGGACUGCCCGAUAGAGGGGGAUAACUACUGGAAACGGUAGCUAAUCCCGCAUACUAGCGGAUAACCCAUAUGGGAUUAGCUAGUAGUUGGGGGAAUGGCUCACCUAGGCGACGAUCCCUAGCUGGUCUGAGAGGAUGAUCAGCCACACUGGGACUGAGACACGGCCCAGACUCCUACGGAGGCAGCAGUAGGGAAUAUUGCGCAAUGGACGAAAGCCUGACGCAGCCAUGCCGCGUGUAUGAAGAAGGUUCUAGGGUUGUAAAGCUCUGUUGUUAGGGAGGCGGUAUCGACAGAAGAAGCAACGGCUAACUCCGUGCCAGCAGCCGCGGUAAUUC
rnacentral:rRNA from 1 species